rnacentral:rRNA from 1 species
AGUGAACGCUGGCGGUAGGCCUAACACAUGCAAGUCGAACGGCAGCACAGUAAGAUCUUGCUCUUACGGGUGGCGAGUGGCGGACGGGUGAGGAAUACAUCGGAAUCUACUUUUUCGUGGGGGAUAACGUAGGGAAACUUACGCUAAUACCGCAUACGAUCUACGGGUGAAAGCAGGGGAUCUUCGCACCUUGCGCGAUUGAAUGAGCCGAUGUCGGAUUAGCUAGUUGGCGGGGUAAAGGCCCACCAAGGCGACGAUCCGUAGCUGGUCUGAGAGGAUGAUCAGCCACACUGGAACUGAGACACGGUCCAGACUCCUACGGGAGGCAGCAGUGGGGAAUAUUGGACAAUGGGCGCAAGCCUGAUCCAGCCAUACCGCGUGGGUGAAGAAGGCCUUCGGGUUGUAAAGCCCUUUUGUUGGGAAAGAAAAGCAGCAGGUUAAUACCCCGCUGUUCUGACGGUACCCAAAGAAUAAGCACCGGCUAACUUCGUG